rnacentral:rRNA from 1 species
AGAGUUUGAUCCUGGCUCAGAACGAACGCUGGCGGCGUGCCUAACACAUGCAAGUCGAACGCGAACGGUCCUUUCGGGGACUUAGUAGAGUGGCGCACGGGUGAGUAACACGUAGACAACCUGCCUUCGAGCCCGGAAUAACCUUUCGAAAGAAGGGCUAAUACCGGAUAACACUUGGGAGCGCAUGCUCUUGGGUUAAA